rnacentral:lncRNA from 1 species
GCGAGCAUCCCGGGGCCCCAGGCAGAGAGGAGGGAGCCUCUGCAGCCACAGGGAUGCCCCCAGCUCCCUGACAGCCCCGUGUGCGGCGGUCAGCAGUCCAGGCCAAUGGAUACCAGCAGCUCCUCCAGCACCCGCAGGCGCUGCGCGGCCUGCUCCAUGGCAUGGCAGGUCUGCACCAGGCUGCCCAUGUGGAAUCGGAUGUCGUCCACCAGCGGGAUGGAGUCCGUCUCCUGCCGGCCGGCCACAGCCGCGGCCUCCUCCUGCACGGCCUCCACAAAGUCCUCCUGCUGCACCAGCUGUGGACAGGCCGGAUCAGGGUCUGUCCUCCGCCCAGGCCCGGCCGCCCGGGGCCCACACUCACCUUCUCAAUGACCCUGGCCAUGUACUUGGUACACUGGUCCUCCAGGCGCGCCAGGCCAAACAGCUUGGCCACACGCCACACCCCCACCACGCUGUCCUCGUCCAGCUGCUGGGCUAAGCUGCGGCCACACAGCUGCUUCAGGCCCGGCAGCAGGUACAUGUCGGCCACGCUCAGCACGUCGUAGGCCAACUCGGGUGGCAGCUGCAAGGACAGAGAGUGAGGGAGGGUACCUGGAGACUGAAGACGGGGUCCCUGGGGCUCACAGCGCAGGCUGGCUCGGCCCUGAGACCCGCGGCUGCUGUUGCUGGGCAGGCCCCUGCUUGGGCGUCCCCUUGUCCAGGAGUGGCGUGACGGGAGCCUACGGAGGGUGGGGUAGGGGGUGCUGUCCCAGUGGGGUGCUGUCCCUGCCCUGAGCGUCACCGCAGAGAAGAAGCCCUCCUCCUCAGCUGCUGUUUCUUGGGGUCUCUAUGACGGUGACUGCACACACGCCGGCUGCCUUUGGGGCAGCUGAAGGCAUCCUGGGGUCCCCGGCAUGCUCUGGCUGGAGGAGCAGUCCACACGGCGCACACUCCCCUCGCCGGUCGGAUGUGUGACGCACCUCGGUGUGGUCGCUGUACACGUAGUACAGUACAUGCGUGAAGACCUCGGGCGAGACGCUGUGCAGGGUGACGGCCGGGAGGCCGCCCGACGCCUCCAGCUGCUCACUCUCCUGGAAGUGGUCGUCCAGCAGGGCCCGGAAGUACUCGCUGCGGCCACAGAAGAAGGCCUGCGGGAGGCUGGGCUCAGGAGGGGCUGCCCCGGGAGCAGGGCUGGGCGGGUGUCUGCGGGAGAAGCCGCGUACCUUGUGACAGAGGAAGUCGUAACCGCCCACACGGAAGCAGACGUCAGGGCAGCUGCUGAGGCCAUCGCAGGGGAAGGGCAGCUCCCCGAGAUCGCCCUGGGGGGGAGGCGGGGCAGCCUCAGGGCAGGCAGGAGGGAGAGCGCCAGGCCGGGCCCCUCCUAG